GACAGAGGUGCCGAGCGUUAGGCGGAAUCACUGGGCUUAAAGCGUGUGUAGGCGGGUCCGUAAGUACCUUGUGAAAUCCCACGGCUCAACCGUGGAACUGCUCGGUAUACUGCGGGCCUUGAGCCAGCUAGGGGCAACCGGAACAAACGGUGGAGCGGUGAAAUGCGUAGAUAUCAUUUGGAACGCCAACGGCGAAAGCAGGCAGCUGGGGAUGCACCGACGCUGAGACACGAAAGCCAGGGGAGCGAACGGG
rnacentral:rRNA from 1 species